AAGGUAAGUAGGGGAAAGGGAAAACGUGGACGACCUCCGGGAGCUUGUACAGGUGCUGCAUGGCUGUCGUCAGCUCGUGUCGUGAGAUGUUCGGUUAAGUCCGCUAACGAGCGCAAUCCUCGCUGUGUGUUACAAGUGUCACACGGAACUGCCGGUCAUAAACCGGAGGAAGGUGGGGAUGACGUCAAGUCAGCAUGGCCUUUAUAUCCUGGGCUACACACACGCUACAAUGGGAAGGGACAAUAGGUUGCGAAGCCGCGAGGCGGAGCCAAUCCAGCAAAACUUCCCUCAGUUCAGAUUGCAGGCUGCAACUCGCCUGCAUGAAGUUGGAGUUGCUAGUAAACGCAGGUCAGCCAUACUGCGUUGAAUACGUUCCCGGGGCUU
rnacentral:rRNA from 1 species